rnacentral:ncRNA from 1 species
GAGGUCUCCUUAUCCGAAAAACAUAGGUCUUCGCAAAGUUGUAAGACCAUCUAUGGGGGCCGACGCCUGCCUAGUGCCGGAAGGUCAAGGAAGUUGAUGACCUGAUGAGAAGGGAGCCGUCGAUCGAAGCCCAGGUGAACGACGAUCAUAACUAUAAUGGUCCUAAGGUAGCGAAAUUCCUUGUCGGGUAAGUUCCGACCCGCACGAAAGGCGUAACGAUC